UUUUGUGUGGGGCCUCGACGGUGACCC
rnacentral:sRNA from 1 species